rnacentral:rRNA from 1 species
GACGAACGCUGGCGGCGUGCUUAACACAUGCAAGUCGAACGGUAAGGCUCCAGCUUGCUGGGGUACACGAGUGGCGAACGGGUGAGUAACACGUGGGUGACCUGCCCUGCACUUCGGGAUAAGCCUGGGAAACUGGGUCUAAUACCGGAUAGGACCGCACCGUGAGGGUGUGGUGGAAAGUUUUUUCGGUGUGGGAUGGGCCCGCGGCCUAUCAGCUUGUUGGUGGGGUAAUGGCCUACCAAGGCGGCGACGGGUAGCCGGCCUGAGAGGGUGGACGGCCACAUUGGGACUGAGACACGGCCCAGACUCCUACGGGAGGCAGCAGUGGGGAAUAUUGCACAAUGGGCGGAAGCCUGAUGCAGCGACGCCGCGUGGGGGAUGACGGCCUUCGGGUUGUAAACUCCUUUCACCAUCGACGAAGGGUUUCUGACGGUAGAUGGAGAAGAAGCACCGGCUAACUACGUGCCAGCAGCCGCGGUAAUACGUAGGGUGCGAGCGUUGUCCGGAAUUACUGGGCGUAAAGAGCUCGUAGGUGGUUUGUCGCGUCGUCUGUGAAAUUCCGGGGCUUAACUCCGGGCGUGCAGGCGAUACGGGCAUAACUUGAGUACUGUAGGGGAGACUGGAAUUCCUGGUGUAGCGGUGAAAUGCGCAGAUAUCAGGAGGAACACCGGUGGCGAAGGCGGGUCUCUGGGCAGUAACUGACGCUGAGGAGCGAAAGCAUGGGGAGCGAACAGGAUUAGAUACCCUGGUAGUCCAUGCCGUAAACGGUGGGCGCUAGGUGUGGGUUUCCUUCCACGGGAUCCGUGCCGUAGCUAACGCAUUAAGCGCCCCGCCUGGGGAGUACGGCCGCAAGGCUAAAACUCAAAGGAAUUGACGGGGGCCCGCACAAGCGGCGGAGCAUGUGGAUUAAUUCGAUGCAACGCGAAGAACCUUACCUGGGCUUGACAUAUACAGGAUCGCGCCAGAGAUGGUGUCUCCCUUGUGGCUUGUAUGCAGGUGGUGCAUGGUUGUCGUCAGCUCGUGUCGUGAGAUGUUGGGUUAAGUCCCGCAACGAGCGCAACCCUUGUCUUAUGUUGCCAGCACGUUGUGGUGGGGACUCGUAAGAAACUGCCGGGGUUAACUCGGAGGAAGGUGGGGAUGACGUCAAAUCAUCAUGCCCCUUAUGUCCAGGGCUUCACACAUGCUACAAUGGUCGGUACAGUGGGUUGCCAGUCCGUGAGGGCGAGCUAAUCCCGCAAAGCCGGUCUCAGUUCGGAUCGGGGUCUGCAACUCGACCCCGUGAAGUCGGAGUCGCUAGUAAUCGCAGACCAGCAACGCUGCGGUGAAUACGUUCCCGGGCCU